CCCGCUUCCCUGGAGCCAAUCAGAGCACCCAGCUGUUGCUCGUUACCCAUAGCCACAAAAACCCCACGCCCCAGGAAGUCAGCGCGACUUCUCUGGCCCCUCAUUGUAAUUGUUAC